ensembl:lncRNA
CUAGUUUCCAAGUAGGCUCCUAAGAGAGUCUGUGUGCAUGUCCAAAUAUGACUUCUGGAAUACCUUGUGAAAAAUGCACAUGUGAUUCCCAUUGGAUAUCAAUGGGAGUUCAUAGAACCCUCAUGAACUGUCAUAGAACACCCUAUCUGAAGGAGAUAGAGCUGCAAUAUUGGUUGGAGGAAGAGGAGGAAGAGGAGGAAGAGGCAUCAAAAGGCAGGGGACUAAGGGAGAAAAAAAAAGUGUCGCAAAACUCAAGAUUUCUCCUCAGACAAUGAAGAAGAGGUGAAGAAGCUGUCAAUGAAAAAGCAAGCACAUCAGUUGAAAACGAAAAACCUGAGUAGCUGGUGUGUGCGGUCACCAAAAUGCCGGAGGAUUUAAAGAGAGAGGACUUUGUUGAUCUAAGCUUUGGUGUUCAGGUGGCCAAGGAGAAGUUCCUGAUCAACAACAAAAAACAAGACCUGAUUGAGGUGCUCUUCACCAGGGAGGAGAUGGUGUUGUUCUCCGUGUCGGGCAGGAAAUCAAACAUCGUUCAAGAUUCUGUGACAAAGCCAGCUUUGUCAAGCAACAAAGUGCUCGCUCUUGUUGGGGAUCCAGCACGUCCAGUCUGCAACUAGCCAUGGAGUUUUAGAAGACAGCAGUGCGCUUGCAAGUCGGGAAUUGAGGAAGUACCGCCAAAGGUUUACAGCUAGUAAUGUCGCACUAGCCAUUGAUUUAUGUAGCUACUAAAACAGUGGUUGUCAAACCUCUCCUUGGGGUCCAGAACUAGCACACCUGAUUCAACUUGUCAACUAAUCAUCAAGCCCUCGAUUAGGUGAAUCAGGUGUGCUAGUUCAGGGCUUAAACAAAAUGGUGAGAUGUCUAGGGGUCCCCUACUGUAGGUGAAGCUAUAUAUAGUACAGUUCGAUUAUAUAUAAUAGAAUUUACGUCCUAAUUGUUGAAUAUUUCAACUGAGUCUGUGUGAACCAAAAAAUAAACCUAUUUAUUC